rnacentral:rRNA from 1 species
CUACGGGGUGCAGCAGCAGGGAAUAUUGCACAAUGGACGGAAGUCUGAUGCAGCGACGCCGCGUGGAUGAUGAAGGCCCUCGGGUUGUAAAAUCCUUUUCAGGGGGACGAGGAAGGACGGUACCCUUGGAAUAAGCGUCGGCUAACUACGUGCCAGCAGCCGCGGUAAGACGUAGGACGCAAGCGUUAUCCGGAUUUACUGGGCGUAAAGCGUCUGUAGGCGGAAUGGUAAGUUGGACGUGAAAGCUCCGGGCUCAACUCGGAGAGGUCGUUCAAUACUGCCAAACUAGAGGGCAUCAGAGGAGCGUGGAAUUUCCGGUGUAGCGGUAAAAUGCGCAGAUAUCGGAAGGAACACCAAUGGCGAAGGCAGCGCUCUGGGAUGAACCUGACGCUAAGAGACGAAAGCUAGGGGAGCGAACAGGAUUAGAUACCCGUGUAGUC